rnacentral:rRNA from 1 species
AUUGAACGCUGGCGGCAGGCCUAACACAUGCAAGUCGAACGGUAGCAGAAAGAAGCUUGCUUCUUUGCUGACGAGUGGCGGACGGGUGAGUAAUGUCUGGGAAACUGCCCGAUGGAGGGGGAUAACUACUGGAAACGGUAGCUAAUACCGCAUAACGUCUUCGGACCAAAGAGGGGGACCUUCGGGCCUCUUGCCAUCGGAUGUGCCCAGAUGGGAUUAGCUAGUAGGUGGGGUAACGGCUCACCUAGGCGACGAUCCCUAGCUGGUCUGAGAGGAUGACCAGCCACACUGGAACUGAGACACGGUCCAGACUCCUACGGGAGGCAGCAGUGGGGAAUAUUGCACAAUGGGCGCAAGCCUGAUGCAGCCAUGCCGCGUGUAUGAAGAAGGCCUUCGGGUUGUAAAGUACUUUCAGCGGGGAGGAAGGGAGUGAGGUUAAUAACCUCAUUCAUUGACGUUACCCGCAGAAGAAGCACCGGCUAACUCCGUGCCAGCAGCCGCGGUAAUACGGAGGGUGCAAGCGUUAAUCGGAAUUACUGGGCGUAAAGCGCACGCAGGCGGUCUGUCAAGUCGGAUGUGAAAUCCCCGGGCUCAACCUGGGAACUGCAUUCGAAACUGGCAGGCUUGAGUCUCGUAGAGGGGGGUAGAAUUCCAGGUGUAGCGGUGAAAUGCGUAGAGAUCUGGAGGAAUACCGGUGGCGAAGGCGGCCCCCUGGACGAAGACUGACGCUCAGGUGCGAAAGCGUGGGGAGCAAACAGG